rnacentral:lncRNA from 1 species
AUAGAACUUAAUGUUAAAGUACGAAGAGAUACUUAGAAAGUGGAAAAUCACCUUUUCUAGGUGCUUAUGUCCUUCAUCUGCUGUAGAAGAGCCAAGGUGUCCAACCUGAGCUGAACAGUUGACUCUCAAGUCAUCUAAAGAGGAGGAAACUCUGCAUCAAAAGCUCUUACAUCAGUAGAAAUUGCAGAACUUGUGCCUGGAAUCAUCAAUCCAGAGACUGUCUGUGCUAAUCCACAUGGAAGAUGCCUGGAAGGUCAAGCAAAAUACUGCUUCUGUCUGUGGAGAGAUGUCAUCAUUCUCAAUGUUCUCAGCACUGCCAAGUGUUUGAUCUAUAAAUCUAUAUUUACGGCAACAGUUCACAUUCACACUGAAAACCUGCAAACCAUUUUGCCCAGCAGUAGUCAGUAUAUUAAUUUGCAACACAGUUGGCAGAGUAUAUAGUAAACAGAGUGGCCAUCCAGUUUUCUUCAAAGUCUUCUUUACAGAGGAUGAACAUGCUGUUAGCUACAUCUUCGAAAGCUUAUAUGAAUGUGCACUUUAUAAGGUUAUAACAUGUUCCCAUAAUCAAGAAUGAAAAGGGGGGGGAAAGUACAACAAAAGCAGAAACAAAAUACUCCACAACCAAUGUCAAUUGUUUUCUGUCAUUAUCUGCAACAUUUUAAAACAGGAGAGCAGAGGGUUUUUUGUCCAUAACAGUGGUAAUUUUCCACUUUCUAACUAAGGCUUGUUUCUUGAUCUGAGCAAUAUUAGCUCUGAAAGUUCUGGCUAUUUAGCCAUAUAUCUUACAUCAAACAAGACCCAAAUCAGUGUCAUAUAAGCCUUUAAAGAAUUCCACAAAAUUAAACAUUGCAGUUAAACAUUACAAAAUGUUUAAAGUCAAUUAUCAAGGAGUAUUUUUCACAAGAAUAUGUCUAAUACUUUUCACAAGAAUAUUUUAAUACAAAAUUUAGUAUAGGGUAUGGGUAAAUAUUUCUUGUAACUUUGUAUCCUGAUUACAUUCUCCUUCCUUCAUCUUCCUCUGACCAUAUGGUGGUCCCAUGAAGAGCUUUAAUCAAAGAAUCUUCUGACAGUUUUAAGUAGGAUGAUAGUAAGCCUAAUCAAGUUCAUCUGAAAGAUCUAUGGAACAGUCAGCCCAAAACCAGUGAAACAAGCCUGAAAGGACUCCAGGAGAUACAGAUCAUUUCUGCAGUUGACCAGUGAAAUGAGAAGUGUAGAAAUGUUGUCAGCUGUGAAACAAAACUCUCCUGAGCAGAAUUCACAGGUUACUGAGGAAUGCAAGGGGUGUGAAACAAAGCCUGGAAAGCAUUGCAAGACCACUAAGUGGAGAGUUGAGAAACCAAGAACUGUAAACAAUUUCUUCUUGCUUGAUUUGUUGGGAGUACCACAGUAUACCAGCUUCCAGAAAAAAGAAUGAGAGAAAGAUGUAUCUCAGUAAGGACAGAAGAACAGGCAGAGGUCAUCAGCUUCGAAAGCCCUUUUUUGGCUUUGCAUGUUGCCAUUAUACAGUGAAUAGCUUGACAAUUGUUCUACAGAAAUUCAGCUGGAGUCAGUUUCAAAUAUACUUGGUUUUCUGCUUUCUUAGUCUUUACCAAAGAUAGGGGAAGCAGCAUCAAACCGCAUGCAGGUUUAUUUCUGGGAAUAUCCAGACCUUGUAAUGUCCUUCAGUCUUCUGAAUAAUGAAACAAAUUUACUCAUUCGCAUGGAGAUGAUCAUCGUAACCUAGAUUUUUAGUCUUCAGUAAGGGAUAGCAUAGUAAGUUCAGAGAAAGGAUGGGGGAAGGAAUAGCAUUUCAAUAAUUUGAAAAAAUACUGCUGCAGUCAAUAAAUUACACUUUUGUUCUUCCCUAGUGAUUUUUUGCACCUUGAUAAAUUAGCUUAAAACUGUCAGGUUGAAAAAAAAAAAUCUAAAAUGUGCCUGUUUACCUGAGUUGAAAGCUUGAACUGGAUUUCUCUUACUCUCAGCAGAAGUGACUUUUAGAUGAAAGCUGAACUCUGACCUUGUCAUAUAAUCUCUGCUGAAAUCAGUGAAAUGUGCAUUUACUACCAAGUGAAGAAAUCAGUUCAGACAUAGCAUCCUUAUCAGAUAUUGGAAUUAAAAUAGCUGCAUCAAGUCUUAAAUGCCUACCCUAUAUUUAUCUCUCUCUUAUGUUGUCCUUGAUACUUCUGAAGCUAAAUCCAGCUGAGAUCACUGCAUCUAAAAAUGGCUGUUUCUCUUUAAAAGCUUUGUGUCCCUUUACAGAUCCUUUCCUCCACAUACGGAGUAGAGGACAUAUAAUUCCACUGUUGCUGAUGCAAUAGAAAAUACAAUGGAA